GACGAACGCUGGCGGCGUGCUUAACACAUGCAAGUCGAACGGUGAACGAGGGAGCUUGCUCCCUCCGGAUCAGUGGCGAACGGGUGAGUAACACGUGAGCAAUCUGCCCCGAACUCUGGGAUAAGCGUUGGAAACGACGUCUAAUACCGGAUACGACGCGGGAGGGCAUCCUCUCCGCGUGGAAAGAACUUCGGUUCGGGAUGAGCUCGCGGCCUCUCAGCUUGUUGGUGAGGUAACGGCUCACCAAGGCGACGACGGGUAGCCGGCCUGAGAGGGUGACCGGCCACACUGGGACUGAGACACGGCCCAGACUCCUACGGGAGGCAGCAGUGGGGAAUAUUGCACAAUGGGCGCAAGCCUGAUGCAGCAACGCCGCGUGAGGGACGACGGCCUUCGGGUGGUAAACCUCUUUUAGCAGGGAAGAAGCGAAAGUGACGGUACCUGCAGAAAAAGCACCGGCUAACUACGU
rnacentral:rRNA from 1 species